GACGAACGCUGGCGGCGUGCUUAACACAUGCAAGUCGAACGGAAAGGCCCUGCUUUUGUGGGGUGCUCGAGUGGCGAACGGGUGAGUAACACGUGAGUAACCUGCCCUUGACUUUGGGAUAACUUCAGGAAACUGGGGCUAAUACCGGAUAGGAGCUCCUGCUGCAUGGUGGGGGUUGGAAAGUUUCGGCGGUUGGGGAUGGACUCGCGGCUUAUCAGCUUGUUGGUGGGGUAGUGGCUUACCAAGGCUUUGACGGGUAGCCGGCCUGAGAGGGUGACCGGCCACACUGGGACUGAGAUACGGCCCAGACUCCUACGGGAGGCAGCGGUGGGGAAGAUUGCACAAUGGGCGGAAGGCUGAUGCAGCAACGCCGCGUGCGGGAUGACGGCCUUCGGGUUGUAAACCGCUUUCGCCUGUGACGAAGCGUGAGUGACGGUAAUGGGUAAAGAAGCACCGGCUAACUACGUG
rnacentral:rRNA from 1 species